GAGCUGUCUGCCUUUUCCAUCUGGGCUGCCACUAAGCUGAGAAGGUCAGGGACACAGUCUAUAGGCAGAACACAUGCCAGACUUUGGAGAGCAGUUUGCACAGGGAGUCUAGCCAUUCUCACAGUCACACUGCACAUGUCACGCUGGGGGGCAGAGCAGCAGGUGUCCUAUCUGGAGGUCUCCUCCUCAAAUGUCAGUUGCCUAGCUACGAGAU
rnacentral:lncRNA from 1 species